CCGGCGCGUCUCCCGCGUAGAGUCUUGAGUAGACAGCCAGUGUGGUGUUGGAAGUGGGAGAGGAAGCAUGCGUGGCAUUUUCGCGCGCCUAACAACUUGAAUGCCUUCGAAAGCUCUGCUGAAGGGACGUGACGAGGUGCCCACAGGAAAAUGCCGCUUCUACGCGCAUAGACUCCCAAGAUGACGCCAGAAUUACGUCAUCAGGUCGCGCUAUAUCCCCAAUCAGAGACGAAGCGCGAGCAGGUGAUCAGCGUGGAUUGGCGAAUCACGUUGGCGGCAAAUGCACGAGGAAAUUUAGAAGGGCAGAGGAAAUUCCCAGCAUGGAGUGGUUUGUUUUCGGACUAUCAAGGACCCAGGCCAUCUUCGCUGUCAAAAAGGACAUGAAGAGAUUUACUGCCACUUCAGGACACCAGAGACGGCUGACGUGUCGCGGACAGACGAGACCGGCGUUGAUGAGACAAUAAUUGCGUGGUUUUAUUUUUCGCUUCAGUUGUCCCUUUCUUACAUACCGUUUCCGUUCUGCGUUUUAUAGGGUGGAUUACCUUUUCAGAAGAGACAAUACAAAUAUUUUCUUUUUGGGUAGUCUGAAGUAAUUCAUGUGAUCAGUUUCGAAUGCUUGAUUUUUCUAUCAGUUCUUGAUUCUUGACAUUAAAAAGAAAGAGAAAAAAAAACAUUUGUUACACAUACAAAGAGCAACAACAAUGUUUGUGGCACACCUAUCAGGCUUCUCAGAGGCGGAGGAACCGGAGGUGAAAGGCGCUUCCACGACUUUCCUGGUGUUCCUUUACCUCCUCCUCUCCCUCCUGCUCUUCAACCUCGAGGUCGUCCACGUCCUUCGCUCGUCGCUCGCGUCCUUCACCUACUGGAUGAGGGCGUCCUACGUGGAAGCUCAUCCUGGGUCUGAAAAUGCCGCGCUUCCUGCGUCGACCUUCGCGCUCUCCUCCUCUUCCUUUCCUCUUCAUCCACCCUCCUCCACCGCCACCCGGUCUCCCUCCCUUCUUUCCUCCUCCUCCUCUACCUUUUCGUCCCCCUCUUCUAUUUCCAGCGACAGUUCUACCUUGUUACUCUCCCCCUACUCUUCCUCCCCUGUCCGUCCUCGACCCACGGCCUCCACUGCGCAUUUUGGAACCCCGAGCCUCCCCGCUUUCCCUCCUUCUGCUUCCACCAGUUCUUCUCCCUCAGCACCUCGCCCCGCUUCAGAACCGAGAUGACGUUUCUUCGGCAGCUUGAAACGUGUCGAUGCUUGUCUGAAUGAUAUGAUUACUGCCAUCAUUAUGUCUAGUCACGUCUUCAUAGUCUUUGUUCUUUCAAAAUGACAUUGGCCUGUAUUUACGUAUGUGUUCAUGUGUGCCUUUUGCAGAGGGAUAAUGAAAUUAGUAUAGAACACAUGCAUGGAAAGGAAUGUAUGCUCGAUUUUCCUUUCUCUCCCUAUCUUCUCUGCUAAAGUGGGUUGCUUAGGUUUGAUUUCUCGAAUUUAUUUUAUUUUUUAAAAUGAUUUCGAAUUAGCAGCUAUGCAGUGUAAGAAUCAGUUUAGAUAUGAUUAUGACCAUCGUCCAUGCACUAGACACUGGGUUACACUGCUUGUGUCUUAGCGUAUGUAUAUACAUGUAUUUAUAUAUUUAUAUUUCUAUCCUUAUGUACGUAGUAUAACUUAAUACCUGUUUGGGUCUUUGGAAAGAAAUGAAGUUUAUUCUUGAUAAUGACCUUGCCAUUCUGAGAGGCAAGUCAUAAUCGACUCAGUGCAAUGUCACAUCGAUGCAAAAACAUAUUGUCUUAAUGUCUUGACCAAUAAAUCUCAAUAAUAA